GCCAUACGAAAGGAAACUCUCUCCCGAGCGGGAAAGCCAAACCCUUAAGAGGGUCUCAGGUCCGCCAACCGUCACCUCUUCAGCUGCCUCUCGCACAGCUUAAGUGGCCAGCGAGGCUCGCCAGCCUUAGAGGGGCCAUCUGAGUAGGUCCUGCUUUCAUCUUCACUUUCCCGUCCUGGCCGCUGAGACGGAGUGAUCACCAAGGACCUGAAAGAAACCUCCAUCCAAGACUGCUAACAAUAGAGAAAAUUGUCUUGACUUGCUGCUUGAGACAGAUGUUUCCAUAAUGAAUUUAUUGCAACCAGACAUCUUUAAGCAUCUUAAAGUGGUCUACCCUCACCACCCAUAUUUGCAUACCACCCAAUCUCUCCUCAACCCACCACGGACUGGUGUUUGCCUUCCACACUCCACUUAGACUUUUCUCCAACAAGAGCACUAAUAACCUCCCUGUUUUUGAGACUGAUAAUACUCGUCUACGGCCAUACCACCCUGAACACGCCUGAUCUCGUCUGAUCUCAGAAGCUAAGCAGGGUCGGGCCUGGAGUUGAAGGACACCUGCAGCUGCAAACCUGUCUUGCUCAUGCCAUGAAGCAGAGACGUCAUCACUGGAUUGUCUAAUGGCUCCUCAGUGCUGUGAGAUAAAACCCAUACUUCUCAGUUAGCCUGGCUCACAACGUCUUCCAUGACCUGGUCCUGUCUGCCUCGCUCACCUCCUCCCUACAAUGCUAGAAGCUCUUGCGAUGGGGACUGUAUUGUAUUCAUCUUUGAAGUUUCAAUGCCGAACACAAUUUUGGGAACCCAAUAAAGGUUUUCUAGAUGAAUGAACCGAGGUGAUGAGACCUGAAAUAGGCUUUGAAGAUUGAGCCGGAAGGAUAAAAUAUAGAGAGAAGAUCUAUUCUGGGUCCUUCAAAUGAUUAUUGGGUGAUUGUGUUAAGCUUAUUGAUGAAAGAGAUUCCUUGUCAUUAAUAUUUGUAUCCCUAUGGCCUAUCAAGUAGGCAUUCAGUCAACUUUGGAUUAAUUAAUAUGCAAGUCAACAAAUGGCAUUAUAUUGUAUUUGGCCAAGCAAACAUUUCUUUUGGAAAAUGUAAUUCUAAAUUAAUUAAGAGUAAUUUAUUUAGAGAAGAGAUAAAAAUUCCAUUCUCUGUGAAGGGGUCACUAUGCUGGCCAGAUACCUGAGCAAACAGACCAGGCCUCGAGGCAAUUUAAUCAAGCACAUUUCUCAUUGCCCAGAAUGUGGACCUGCUGUUGGAGAGGACACCUGUCUUCCUGAGGUCAGUGGCUCCAGCACUAGAUUUAUGAACUGUAACAAGAUCUGGCUACAGAUGCUGCCAAAACAGGGAUAUCCCAACAUGCUGUUACUGGAUGCUAAUUUUGGAUAAAUACCUCCUUGAGGCUUUAA